rnacentral:rRNA from 1 species
UACGUAGGGUGCGAGCGUUAAUCGGAAUUACUGGGCGUAAAGCGUGCGCGGGCGGUUUUGUAAGCCAGAUGUGAAAUCCCCGGGCUUAACCUGGGAAUGGCAUUUGGGACUGCAAGGCUGGAGUUUGGCAGAGGAGACUGGAAUUCCCGGUGUAGCAGUGAAAUGCGUAGAUAUCGGGAGGAAUACCGAUGGCGAAGGCAGGUCUCUGGGCUAUAACUGACGCUCAUGCACGAAAGCGUGGGGAGCAAACAGG